rnacentral:rRNA from 1 species
CGUUGGUGUGGGUGAAUUCGCGGUGGGCGGCUUGGGUGCGUUGGGCCGGCGGACGGCACAUGUGUCGGUCGUUGGUCGCGCGUGCUCAGGUCCUCCACUGCCCCCGAACACUCGACUCGGUGUAUAGUCGGUCACCCAUUUGACCCGUCUUGAAACACGGACCAAGGAGUUUAAGGUGUACGCGAGUCAUUGAGUCCUACGAAACUCAAAGGCGCAAUGAAAGUGAGACACUUGGUGUCGGCGAUGUGAGCGGAGAGCGUUUCGACGUUCCUCGUGCAACAUCACCCCGUGAUUCGAACUCGUUCUGUUGCGGAGGUCGAGCGUACGCUUUGAGACCCGAAAGAUGGUGAACUAUGCCCGAACAGGAUGAAGCCAGAGGAAACUCUGGUGGAAGUCCGAAGCGGUUCUGACGUGCAAAUCGAUCGUCUGAUUUGU